rnacentral:rRNA from 1 species
GUGGGGAAUCUUAGACAAUGGGCGCAAGCCUGAUCUAGCCAUGCCGCGUGAGCGAUGAAGGCCUUAGGGUUGUAAAGCUCUUUCGUGGGGGAAGAUAAUGACUGUACCCCAAGAAGAAGCCCCGGCUAACUCCGUGCCAGCAGCCGCGGUAAUACGGAGGGGGCUAGCGUUGUUCGGAAUUACUGGGCGUAAAGCGCACGUAGGCGGACUGGAAAGUCAGGGGUGAAAUCCCGGGGCUCAACCCCGGAACUGCCUUUGAAACUCCCAGUCUUGAGUUCGAGAGAGGUGAGUGGAAUUCCGAGUGUAGAGGUGAAAUUCGUAGAUAUUCGGAGGAACAACAGUGGCGAAGGCGGCUCACUGGCUCGAUACUGACGCUGAGGUGCGAAAGCGUGGGGAGCAAACAGGAUUAGAAACCCGGGUAGUCC